GCCCGAACUGCCCCCCAAAGAGAGAGUUUCUCGGGGGGCCGGGGCGCUGGUUGUAGGUGGCUGCUACGCUCACGCUGUGAACGCUGUCAGCCGGCUGCCCGAAUAACGUCUCUGUGCUCCUCAGUGAACGAGAUCCUCAGCACCGCCGCCAAAGAGCGAGCUGAGAGUCUCUCUGAAGGAAAGAGCUGCAAAGCUCCGACGGUGCAGCAGAGGAACCAGCUGGAGGAGCUGCGCAAGUUCGGCAAGGAGUUCAGGCUGCAGCCCGCCUCCUGUCCGUCAGCAAGCCCCGCCUCCGCCGAGCCUCCUCAGCACAGCGCCGCCCCCGCCCCGCCCAAACCUGCCUCCUCCUCCUCCGCCCAAGACCCCCACCAAGGCGUAUCCUCCGGGCCUGAGGGUCCGGCGCCGGAGGGGCAGCAGCCGACGCCCCCCGGCGGCGAAGAGCGAGGCGAGCGACCCGAAGCCGC
ensembl:lncRNA